UUUUUUAGGGAAAAUUUGGCCUUCCAGCAAAGGGAGGCCAGGAAAUUUUCUC
rfam:HIV-1 isolate 90CR056 from Central African Republic, complete genome.